rnacentral:rRNA from 1 species
UACGUAGGGGCCAAGCGUUGUCCGGAUUUAUUGGGCGUAAAGAGCUCGUAGGCGGUUGGGUAAGUCGGGUGUGAAAACUCCAGGCUCAACUUGGAGACGCCACCCGAUACUGCUAUAGCUUGAGUCCGGUAGGGGAGCGUGGAAUUCCUGGUGUAGCGGUGAAAUGCGCAGAUAUCAGGAGGAACACCAGCGGCGAAGGCGGCGCUCUGGGCCGGUACUGACGCUGAGGAGCGAAAGCGUGGGGAGCAAACAGG